ACAGUGGACGCGAGCAUCUUUGUUGUAAGUGUUUAAGAGCGUACGGUGGAUGCCUUGGCACCAGGAGCCGAUGAAGGACGUAGGAGGCUGCGAUAAGCCUCGGGGAGCUGUCAACCGAGCUGAGAUCCGAGGAUGUCCGAAUGGGGAAACCCAGCCACAGUGAUGUGUGGUUACCCGCGCCUGAAUAUAUAGGGCGUGUGGAGGGAACGUGGGGAAGUGAAACAUCUCAGUACCCACAGGAAGAGAAAACAACAUGUGAUUCCGUGAGUAGUGGCGAGCGAAAGCGGAAGAGGCUAAACCAUGGGUGUGUGAUAGCCGGCGGGCGUUGCAUUCGUGGGGUUGUGGGAUCCGUCUUGUCAAUUCUGCCGGAUUGGCCGACAGUGAGAAAUCAUCGUGUUAGUCGAAGUGGUCUGGAACGGCCUGUCGUAGAGGGUGAGAGUCCCGUAGACGAAAACAUGGUGACUGUCGUGACGGACACCCGAGUAGCAG
rnacentral:rRNA from 1 species